UGCAAGUCGAGCGAACUGAUUAUAACGCUUGCUUCUAUGACGUUAGCGGCGGACGGGUGAGUAACACGUGGGCAACCUGCCUGUAAGACUGCGGAUAACUUCGGGAAACCGAAGCUAAUACCGGAUAGGAUCUUCUCCUUCAUGGGAGAUGAUUGAAAGAUGGUUUCGGCUAUCACUUACAGAUGGGCCCGCGGUGCAUUAGCUAGUUGGUGAGGUAACGGCUCACCAAGGCAACGAUGCAUAGCCGACCUGAGAGGGUGAUCGGCCACACUGGGACUGAGACACGGCCCAGACUCCUACGGGAGGCAGCAGUAGGGAAUCUUCCGCAAUGGACGAAAGUCUGACGGAGCAACGCCGCGUGAGUGAUGAAGGCUUUCGGGUCGUAAAACUCUGUUGUUAGGGAAGAACAAGUACGAGAGUAACUGCUUGUACCUUGACGGUACCUAACCAGAAAGCCACGGCUAACUACGUGCCAGCAGCCGCGGUAAUACGUAGGUGGCAAGCGUUAUCCGGAAUUAUUGGGCGUAAAGCGCGCGCAGGCGGUUUCUUAAGUCUGAUGUGAAAGCCCACGGCUCAACCGUGGAGGGUCAUUGGAAACUGGGGAACUUGAGUGCAGAAGAGAAAAGCGGAAUUCCACGUGUAGCGGUGAAAUGCGUAGAGAUGUGGAGGAACACCAGUGGCGAAGGCGGCUUUUUGGUCUGUAACUGACGCUGAGGCGCGAAAGCGUGGGGAGCAAACAGGAUUACAUACCCUGGUAGUCCACGCCGUAGACGAUGAGUGCUAAGUGUUAGAGGGUUUCCGCCCUUUAGUGCUGCAGCUAACGCAUUAAGCACUCCGCCUGGGGAGUACGGUCGCAAGACUGACACUCACAGGAAUUGACGGGGGCCCGCACAAGCGGUGGAGCAUG
rnacentral:rRNA from 1 species